rnacentral:rRNA from 1 species
AUUGAACGCUGGCGGCAUGCCUUACACAUGCAAGUCGAACGGCAGCGCGGGGCAACCUGGCGGCGAGUGGCGAACGGGUGAGUAAAAUAUCGGAACAUACCCUAGAGUGGGGGAUAACGUAGCGAAAGUUACGCUAAUACCGCAUACGCACUAAGGUGGAAAGUGGGGGAUCUUCGGACCUCAUGCUCAUGGAGUGGCCGAUAUCUGAUUAGCUAGUUGGUGAGGUAAAGGCUCACCAAGGCGACGAUCAGUAGCUGGUUUGAGAGAACGACCAGCCACACUGGAACUGAGACACGGUCCAGACUCCUACGGGAGGCAGCAGUGGGGAAUUUUGGACAAUGGGGGGCAACCCUGAUCCAGCAAUGCCGCGUGUGUGAAGAAGGCCUUCGGGUUGUAAGACGACUUUUAGUCUAGGAACGAACGGUACUGGGCGUAAUAUCCUGGGCGUAAUGACGGUACCUCGAAGAAUAAGACACCGGCGUAACUACGUAGCCAGCAGCCGCGGUAU